CUCCAUUUCAAUGGCCUAUAUGCUACUGAUAGUUGCGUGAUGUUAGUUGAUUGAUGACGUUAGCAAGUUCAUUUAUUGUCAAGUUUUAACAUGUAUAUCAUUUCCGUUUACAAUUGUAUUAUAUCUUAUUUAUUCAAAUUAUAGUAUCAACGCACACGAAGCUUUACCAAAAUUUCCAACCUAUUAAUAUGUGCAGACGCAAUUGCAUGCUUGCAACAAAAUUAGAGAGGAUGAAUGGUUAAUCAAUAUAAAGAACUAUGUUGAAGACACAACACAGAAACAGCGAAUUGAAAAGGUUCCAUUAAUGCUGCGUGAGAUUGAAUCCAACAAAAAAUGUUAUGAUCCUCUUGUAGUUUCAAUAGGCCCUUAUCAUCAUGAAAAGCCAGAACUCAAAGCAGUAGAGAAGCUAAAAUUUAAAUAUGCAAAUCAAUUCCGCCUUGCCUGUGGCGAUCAAGUAUCGAUCAAUCAGUUAUAUGCAGAGGUGGCGAAGGUGGCUAACAGUGCCCGAGAAUACUAUGAGGAAGGCUCAACUACAGACUAUGACAACGAAUCGUUCACCAAAAUGAUGUUUCUUGAUGCUUGCUUUGUGCUUCAGUUUAUGUGCAUCUUAACAAAGACAGAAACGAAAGACGAAGAAGAUCAGCUACCCACAAUGAAGAGUUACCUCUGUGCUUUUGUGUGGAGGGACUUGUUCUUGCUAGAGAAUCAAAUUCCUUUACUAGUACUAGAAGUUUUGUUGAAAUUCAGGGUCGGAGGUUAUAUAAAGUUGAUUCAGGAUUUCCUUGACCUUUUCACCAGCAUAAGGCCACCUGAAAAAACUUCAUGCACUAAUUUGGUCAAGAAAUUUGUCAAUAAAAGCUACUGUGAUGCGGUCAAGAAAUUUGUCAAUGAAUGCUGCCUUGGUGGUCAAACAAACGACAAAAGAGAAUUACAAUUGGAUGGAAGCCCUCACCUUCUAGACCUAAUGCGGAGACAUCUCACGGAGCCACAUAACUUUGAAGACAGAAUCAUGAAGAAAUCAGAUCAAUGGAAUUCCUAUCGUUCAGUAACAGAGCUCGAAGAAGCAGGAAUUCGUUUUAGAGCAAGUAAAACUCAUCGUGUUACUGAUGUAACGUUCAAAGAUCACCUUGUUUGUGGAACUAUGAUACUUCCUCCUUUAGUGGUUGAUGAUACAACAAAACCUUUGCUAUUAAACUUAGUGGCCUAUGAAAUGAGUCCUAAUGGCCCCCAUGAUUCUCUCAUUACGUCAUAUAUUUGGCUAAUGGAUUCACUCAUUGAUCAUGCCAAUGAUGUUAAAGAGCUCCGAAAGAAGGGAAUUCUUGUCAACAAUCUAGGCAGUGAUGGACACUUGGCCACAAUCUUUAACGAGAUAGCUAAUGGUUUGGUACCAGAUCCUCGCGCAUAUGCACAUGCUAAGGGCCAAAUUGAAAAGCAUUGCAGGAAUAAAUGCCGAUUUUGGAUAGCUGAAUGGAUGCACAUCCAUUUCAGCAGUCCUUGGACCGUCCUUGCCUUUCUAG
rnacentral:lncRNA from 1 species